rnacentral:lncRNA from 1 species
CAUGAAGUUCCGAAAAGCAAAAUUUUCGUACAUUCUCAUCUAAAAUUAACAGUGAAUAUAACGAUCUACAAAGAGUUAGAUAUGAGAUGACAACUCAUACUCUUCCCUCUACAAUCGAACGAAUACAAACAUGUUUUUAAAACGCGAAACAAAAUUUAUUAAAAAAGUCGCAAAGCAGCUGGGAUUCGAAGCCAGACGCUUUCAGUCCCGAAAACAUAAAUACGGCCACACUUGGCCAAAGCAAAC